GAACUCUCUGCAAGUCAUUUGUUACAUUUGUUUCUCCUGAUGUACUGAGUACUGAAUAAAAGGUGUGGUAAGCUGGGGACUUUGUCUUUGCCACCCAGAGCAGCACUGAUCAGACCCAAAGUGCAGCUUCUUCUCAGUCUCAUUUUUCUACCUUUCCUGUAAUUUGCCGUGUACUGCCAUGGCUCGCAGGAGACUAGGAUUUAACUGCAGAGGUUCUAGUAACUUCCCCUUCCCCUGUUCCCUACAAGGUGAUACUUGUUUCCAGGAGUAAAUUCGGGAGCAAUGCUUCCCUUUCAAUUUCGUUGAAGAGUUUAAACAGUAGUGUCAGUAGUUCCUCUCUAAAUGUCUUGUAGAAUUCAGCGGUGAAGUCAUCAUGAACUGGGCUUUUCUUAGUUGAGCCGAGGACACCAGGAAAGACGAAGAAGGUUUUGAAAAUGGUCACCUGAUUCCACAGUACCUCCAAGAGCCUCCAAGAAGUGGUAAAGGACCAGUGACCCUAACCAAAGGACCUGUUCCCUGGAAACCAAAAUUGGAACCAUUUCUAACAGCAUCAAAAUUACUGAGGAAGUACCCACUGAAUUUAAAGAUCUGAUGAAACUUUCAGGAUUGCCUGCUUAGUUCUUAUGGUACAAAGUUAAAAACAGAAGAUCAAGGGCAGGAAGCCCAGAAUCCGUGAUGGCUCAGGAUGGACUUCUAGAGAAUAUCAAGAACCAAUAUGGUGUUGGGCUUCUUCCCUUCUGUUCCCAUACUUAUGGAUGAUCCCAGUUAAGGACAGCAUACUUACCCCAGAAAUAUUUGCCAUGCUCACCAAAAAGCUAUAAAUGGAAGAAGAUCAAUACUCAUUUGAAUUAUCAAUAAUGAAGGUUAACGUUAAACACUGCCUUUUUGAACACACUGUUCUCUUUGCAUGGUUACAUUUUCACCACUGUUAAGGGAGUUUUGGGCUCUUACUUGAAGUUGUCCCACUACAACAUCAUAGCUUGGGUGUACUAAUAACAACUAUCUACUAUUCUAAUGUAGCUGAAGCCCAAAGUAACUAGAGUGCUAUGAAUUUCAGCAACAUUGAGGAUCACUGAAGUUAUUCCUUUUCAAACUUUCAAUUGGAAUUUAUGAAGAUAAUGUUAGUUCAUUAAUGUAAAGUACUUAAUACAUGAUUGCACUCAAACUAGUCACAUAAUAAUUGGUAACUGUUACUUUUUAUUAUUUUCAAAUUCUUCCACUGCCACGUUUUCCAUAACUUGUAAUUCCUAACAAACAAGGCCACCAGUCAAGCUUGCCAGAGACUCUUGCAAUGCUCAUCACUAUCAAGGAUCAUUUGGACUCAUAUUUGAAGUUAGUGCAUUACAAUGGUAUGACUUUGGUGAACUACUAACAACCAGAUAAUAGUGUGGUGUAGCUAUCCCCAUAUAAAAUUCUGAUGGAAAGUUGACCUUCCUCUAGCUUCUUUUGGCCAAUUUUUCUGCUACAAAAUGAGUUAAAUCUUUUUCUUUGCAGCCUUUAUAAUACAGUCUUACCACCAGUAUAUUAAUUCUAUGUCUCUUGACAUUUCUGAUCUGUAAUGAAUCAUGAGAAAUUGUUGGCUAAGACCUUCUCUUUAACAAUCAGAGUAAAACAGGUUUAAGAGACACAUGACCCAAAUCCAUGUGCAUGAUUGAAUUGACACUAAAGACUUUUAAUUUAUUUUGCUAUGCAGUAUCUCUGUCACCUAGAAAUCUAGCUGGUGUUUCUGAACGAAGACUUUUCCUAUUGAAAAUUUAAAAAUAAAGUACAAAAUCCAUUGGAAUUUUCAUCAAAAUCCAAUCCAAACUGAGAAUAAAUCUUUGAUCUACUCCAAGUUAAAAGAUAAGAAAAGAAAUUGUUCUAAUGUUACCUGUUGGAACUAUGAUAUGAUUUCUCAUAUAAAAAGCAAUCUUUCUUAUCUAAUAAAUCAUAAUGAGUUUCCAACUGGGACUUUUUUCCUUCACUUCUCAUGACCCCCAAUAUAGCUCCAAUCUCAAUCUCAACAAGGUCUAUGAUUGAAGCUCCAAGAUACAUUGCAUUAUCAAUACACUCCUCCUCUUUAUGUCUACUGCUACCAUCUUAGUCUAAACUACUAUGUUCUUUACUCAGAACAUUGCAAUAAUCUCUAGUAUUUCUUCAUACAUGCUG
ensembl:lncRNA